UACGGGGGGGGCAAGCGUUGUUCGGAAUUACUGGGCGUAAAGGGCUCGUAGGCGGCCAACUAAGUCAGACGUGAAAUCCCCUCGGCUUAACCGGGGAACUGCGUCUGAUACUGGAUGGCUUGAGUUUGGGAGAGGGAUGCGGAAUUCCAGGUGUAGCGGUGAAAUGCGCAGAUAUCAGGAAGAACACCCGUGGCGAAAGCGGCGCGCUGGACCACUACUGACGCUGAGGAACGAAAGCUAGGGGAGCAAACAGG
rnacentral:rRNA from 1 species